rnacentral:rRNA from 1 species
AGAGUUUGAUCCUGGCUCAGGAUGAACGCUGGCGGCGUGCCUAAUACAUGCAAGUCGAACGAGGUGCUUUUGUAGCAAUACGAGAGUAUCCUAGUGGCGAACGGGUGAGUAACGCGUUGGUGACCUGCCCCAAAGUGCGGGAUAACAGUCCGAAAGGAUUGCUAAUACCGCAUGUGGUUCUUGGAUUUAGAAACCGAGCUCUAAAGGAGCAAUCCGCUUUGGGAGGGACCUGCGUCCCAUCAGCUAGUUGGUGAGGUAACGGCCCACCAAGGCUACGACGGGUAGGGGACCUGAGAGGGUGGCCCCCCACAAUGGAACUGAAACACGGUCCAUACACCUACGGGUGGCAGCAGUAGGGAAUAUUGGGCAAUGGGCGAAAGCCUGACCCAGCAACGCCGCGUGUGUGAUGAAGGCCUUCGGGUCGUAAAGCACUUUUCUGGGAGAUGAGAAAGGACAGUAUCCCAGGAAUAAGUCUCG